AGGCAAAGAGAAUAAGGGCUGUCCUCAUUUUCAGAGCAUUGGUUUGCCAUGCUCUGAAGAGAACAAAUCAAAGGGACCGGGGGCCUGAGCAAGGAAAUCAGUAAGAAGAAUCUGGAAUGAAUAGCCUGAGGUGCAGAAAGGCGACCCAGGAUGAAUGCAGGCAUCCUUGCCAAUGCCCAGUCACAGACAGUGCUGGCCCCACAGAGAGAAUGCAGCUACCCAAGAGAACACAGAUAGAGGUGCUCAAGUUAGACAAAACUGCACCAUCACUCAGUCCUUUGCGUCAGCAAGUAAAGCAAUCAUCCAGAAAUUUGCAAAGCAAAUUGGAGAGAAGCCAAGACUUCGAUAGAAAUCAGUUGAUGGGGAUUUCCUACAUUAAAGACUUUUUCUUCAGAAAGUGCAUAAACUGCAGCACAGACCUGUCUGUGAUGAGCAUUAACAGCCCUGACAUAAAGCAUGGGACUUCACAGGCACUCUGA
rnacentral:lncRNA from 1 species